CCUACGGGUGGCAGCAGUGAGGAAUAUUGGUCAAUGGGCGCGAGCCUGAACCAGCCAAGUAGCGUGAAGGAUGACUGCCCUACGGGUUGUAAACUUCUUUUAUAAAGGAAUAAAGUGAGGCACGUGUGCCUUUUUGUAUGUACUUUAUGAAUAAGAAUCGGCUAACUCCGUGCCAGCAGCCGCGGUAAUACGGGGGAUCCGAGCGUUAUCCGGAUUUAUUUGGUUUAAAGGGAGCGUAGAUGGGUUUGUAAGUCAGUUGUGAAAGUUUGCGGCUCAACCGUAAAAUUGGAAUUGAUAAUGGGAGUCUUGAGGACAGUUGAGGUAGGCGGAAUUCGUGGUGG
rnacentral:rRNA from 1 species